GGAUUCUUUCCAGACCUUCCCUAAGAUGCUAUAUGUGGACACCUGCAAAUCAAUGUGGUGAGCAUUGUGUACCUACUUCAAGGCCCAAAGAGUCAUGGGGAUAGGAACAUGGAGAGCUUCAUCUGAGCUUCCAGGAUGUCAUCAGGGCCCUAAGGCCCAAGAAUGAAAUGCUGCCAUAUAGACAUCUGUGAUUUUAUCAAUAAAUGCAAAGAUGUCAGCAAGAAGAAAAAUGUGUUGAUCGUGCCAGACCUACCCCUGAAGCCUGCAAGUCAGAAUCACUAUCAUGGAUGGAUUCAGCAUGGGGUUGCUGGCCCUUGGCCUCAGCUUCCUCACAUGAAGACUGAGGAGGACAGGCUGGCAGGAAGAAGGGAAGAGAAGAGAGAGCGAUGAGAAAGAAAGAGCAAUAGGUUUUGAAAGCUUGCAAGUCAUCAUGAGAGAGCUAGAUACUGCUCUGCAUGGUAUGCUAUUUACUACUUAGAACACAAUUUUAAAAUGGACAUUCUGGGGACAUCUGGGUGGCUCAGUCUGUUAAGCAUCUUAUUCCGGCUCGGGUCAUGAUCUCAUGGUCUUGGGAUUGAGCCCCAAGUCAGGAUCCUUGCUCAGCGGGGAGUCUGCCUGCAUGCCCUCCCCUGACUCAGGC
rnacentral:lncRNA from 1 species